rnacentral:rRNA from 1 species
CCUACGGGAGGCUGCAGUGGGGAAUAUUGCACAAUGGGCGCAAGCCUGAUGCAGCCAUGCCGCGUGUGUGAAGAAGGCCUUCGGGUUGUAAAGCACUUUCAGCGGGGAGGAAGGCGUUAAGGUUAAUAACCUUGGCGAUUGACGUUACCCGCAGAAGAAGCACCGGCUAACUCCGUGCCAGCAGCCGCGGUAAUACGGAGGGUGCAAGCGUUAAUCGGAAUUACUGGGCGUAAAGCGCACGCAGGCGGUCUGUCAAGUCGGAUGUGAAAUCCCCGGGCUCAACCUGGGAACUGCAUUCGAAACUGGCAGGCUAGAGUCUUGUAGAGGGGGAUAGAAUUCCAGGUGUAGCGGUGAAAUGCGUAGAGAUCUGGAGGAAUACCGGUGGCGAAGGCGGCCCCCUGGACAAAGACUGACGCUCAGGUGCGAAAGCGUGGGGAGCAAACAGGAUUAGAUACCCUAGUAGUC